GCGCCAGUAGCUCAAUUGGCAGAGCAGUUGACUCUUAAUCAAUUGGUUGGAGGUUCAAGUCCUCCCUGGCGUA
rnacentral:tRNA from 1 species